rnacentral:rRNA from 1 species
UGCCAGCAGCCGCGGUAAUACGGAGGGUGCAAGCGUUAUUCGGAUUUAUUGGGCGUAAAGGGCGUGUAGGCGGCUUGGUAAGUUGAAGGUGAAAUCCCACGGCUCAACCGUGGAACUGCCUUCGAUACUGCCAGACUAGAGUACGGGAGAGGGUAGUGGAAUUCCCAGUGUAGCGGUGAAAUGCGUAGAUAUUGGGAGGAACACCAGUGGCGAAGGCGACUACCUGGACGGGUACUGACGCUGAGGCGCGAAAGCGUGGGGAGCAAACAGGAUUAGAUA